GCUCCUACUGAAUAAUGCCACCCUAAACGGACAAAAAAGACUUUCCCUGGAGAACAAAGAUAAGCCAGAGAUAGACGGAUAGAUAGAGGGGCAAGAGAGGACGAUCGCUUCAGAGACAAGGGCAGACGUCCACCCACACACUCGCCCAGACCGGAGGUCGUAAUGCAAAGGCUGAUGGGGCGUGAUCAGAGAGGAAAUGGGCAGGUUUAUGCUGAAUGAUAGAUGUGUCCCGUUAAACAGUCAUUGGGCUGCAGGAUAACAGCUCUAGGAUGUCAUUGUCAGGAAGCUGUAUUAGCAUUGCUCAAAGAGGCUUUGACCUGUGAGGUGUGAGAGUCGUGCAGGUAUGGGACAGACGCGGCCUGACCCCAACAACAGGGCAGCGGGGACACAAUCUGCUCUGAGACCCACUCCUGUGCUCAUCGGUCAUGUUGCAACGGUCACUGAAUGAGAAGCUGCUCUGUGAAGAUGCCGCAGUGUUCCGGGGAGAGAUGGGAAGGAACAAAAGAAAGUUUGCAAAGAAAGGAAGAUGGGAGGAUCGAGAGACAAAAAGAGAAAAUGCACGAUCACUUUGUCAUCUAUUGAAGCUCAUGCAAACACUGCCGAACACAGCUGCUCGGAAAGCAGCACUUCCUGCAGUCAUCACAUUAAGAGAUGAAGCCACGGACAGCAUGGUACAGUAUGAAGUUAGACAGAAAAAUUAAAGACAUGAGUGAGUGCUGCUGUUAGAAUGAGAAAACAACAACACACAAGCCAGUGAGAGACCGUGUGCAUUGCAUUCAAUUAUUUAUUAUUAUUAUAAUUUUUUUGUAGUUUUUAUUUUCAGACAAUUCUCG
rnacentral:lncRNA from 12 species